UUACGGUCAAAUCACGGUGAAACACCGGUUCUCGUUCGAUCACCGAAGUUAAGCAUCGUAGAGCCAGGUCAGUACUUAGAUGGGGGACCGCUUAGGAACACAUGGUACUGUAAG